AUUGAACGCUGGCGGAAUGCUUUACACAUGCAAGUCGAACGGCAGCACGGACUUCGGUCUGGUGGCGAGUGGCGAACGGGUGAGUAAUGUAUCGGAACGUGCCCAGUCGUGGGGGAUAACGUAGUGAAAAUUACGCUAAUACCGCAUACGAUCUAUGGAUGAAAGCGGGGGAUCGCAAGACCUCGCGCGAUUGGAGCGGCCGAUAUCAGAUUAGGUAGUUGGUGGGGUAAAGGCCCACCAAGCCAACGAUCUGUAGCUGGUCUGAGAGGACGACCAGCCACCCUGAAACUGAGACACGGUCCAGACUCCGACGGGAGGCAGCAGUGGGGAAUUUUGGAAAAUGGGCGAAAGCCUGAUCCAGCCAUUCCGCGUGCAGGAUGAAGGCCCUCGGGUUGUAAACUGCUUUUGUACAGAACGAAAAGGUUUCUACUAAUACUAGGAGCUCAUGACGGUACUGUAAGAAUAAGCACCGGCUAACUACGUGCCAGCCGCCGCCGUAA
rnacentral:rRNA from 1 species